rnacentral:rRNA from 1 species
UACGUAGGCAGCGAGCGUUGUUCGGAGUUACUGGGCGUAAAGCGUGCGUAGGCGGUGUCUUAAGUUUGUUGUGAAUCUCCCGGCUUAACCGGGAGGGUGCGGCGAAUACUGAGAUGCUGGAGUGCCGGAGAGGUAAGCGGAAUUCCUGGUGUAGCGGUGAAAUGCGUAGAUAUCAGGAGGAACACCUGCGGUGUAGACGGCUUACUGGACGGUAACUGACGCUGAGGCACGAAAGCGUGGGUAGCAAACAGG